CAAAUUAAAGCUUUGAUCAAGCGUUUUAUUUACAUUAAAAAGAAUAUUAAUUAAAAUAUAAUUUGA
rnacentral:tRNA from 1 species